CUGGAAUGCUGCCAGGAAGGAAGCGGCGUUAGUAUAAAGAAUCACACAAAAGGCCGCAGGAUGCCCUCAGUGCCAGUGACAUUUCAGAGACCUGCUCUCUGACAGGGCUGGAGGACACAAGGCUGACCCCAAAGCCCUGCUCCAGGCCCAGACCAGCUGUGACCACGGACCCCACUUGGGAACAAGCCUCAUAUUGCGAACAUCAGCACAGCACCUCUCUGGGGACUAAACGGAGGGCAGCUUACAAACCAGGUCAAGGUAGUUGUAAAAUGCCUGGGUUUUGGGAACAGAAGAAGUAAUCCUGGCUCCACUGGUCACCAGCUGU